rnacentral:lncRNA from 10 species
CAGGUGUGGGAUCCGGGCUAGCAGCACGAAUCAAGAACAGCCUGACAGGCCGAGUGGGCAGAAUGAGUCCAGUGGGCCCAAGCAAAACUUAGGUGAAGGCACCACCAGCCACAGUGGCUUCUAGCUGGAAGAGCAACACCCCAGGGAUCCUGUGACAUUUUUUAUGGGUUCAUCUGGGAUCGGCAAAAGUGUGAGUAAAAGUGGACUUGCUGCUUUCUGUUCUUUUUUCAAAGUCCCUAA